AUUAAAUGUCACGAUGCAUUUAUAGUACAGCAUUGAAAAAAAUUGUGUUGCAAAUAGAAUCACAGCUCCAAUUGGCGUAAGCCAAUAGUGGAAAUUUUAUAUCUGGUAAAGACACUUGCAAAACAGGCAAGAACAUACCUAGGAAUUAGCAAUGUCUGGAAUAAAGUGAUGGGCUGCUAAUAUGCACCUCUGUUUGCUUUUAAUCCACAGAAAAGAAUUUUGAGUAUACUGGCUUGCAUCUGAUCCUCCCCUUGUGGCCAGAGCAUUGUAGUAUCAAGACAAUUAGUCCCUAAUGAAACAACAAGAUAGGCAGAAGCCAACCAAGCCAUCUGCUAUGGAAGCUGAAGAAGGCUGGAUAAUCCCUUCCUUUUGGCAACAUGUUUACUGAGCUCAACAGCCAUGUGCCUUCCCUCUCUCCCACCACUAACGACUUUGAAUCUUGAAUAAAUGAAGCAAAAGCGCAAUGACAUUUAGAGAUUUUUGAUAGCAGAAUCGACAGAGUGGAGUGUCUAAUAACACAGUACCAAGUGUGCCAGUGAAAUGGAAUCCAGCAGGACAGUGGCAGCAGUCCAGACAUAGUGGCUACAGUGGACAAGGCCGUGAGCGUCCUGUCAGAUAGCAGCAGUGCUCUGAGGUGGAUAAUUAUGGAAGUUCUGUGGCUCUCUUGAUUUUUAUUUAAUUCUUACUGAGCUUGAUUUUCAGCAACCUUUUCCAUGUUUGGAGCAAUUGAGUUCUCUGCCAAUAAAUUUCAUUUCUGUUUAAAUUAAUGAGUUAUAAUCAUAUUCAAGUAAGAAUUGUGACCUAUUCAGAAUUAUAUGAGAUAAAUCAGUACUGGGGCAAGAGGAGAACAUGGAAAUCCAGCAGCCCUUGCUAUGUAUUUUUCCAGCAAUUAAUAAAUGUCACCUGAAAUAAAGUUUUCAUUAAAGGUCAGUCUUAUGGAAUCAAUGUCAACCAGUUCUACACAGCACAUAUGUCUCAAGGGCAUGGAAAACAUUGGAAAGUGUGAAAGCAAUGGAUAGCUGAAGGGAAGAAAAUGACAAUCUAAGGGCCAUCAUUUCUCAACUGAAGUGAUCUGAAGCCUUGCAAUAGUAUUGCUUUAGAGGAUUUCUGCUUUAGAAUAUCUCUUUACUGAGGCAAAUUAAUGCAAUUUCUCGUACUUGAUGUGCAACUUAAUCUGACAAAUGGGCUUCCUAUAUAUCAA
rnacentral:lncRNA from 1 species